rnacentral:rRNA from 1 species
UACGGGGGGGCAAGCGUUGUUCGGAAUUACUGGGCGUAAAGGGCUCGUAGGUGGCCAACUAAGUCAGACGUGAAAUCCCUCGGACUUAACCGGGGAACUGCGUCUGAUACUGGAAUGGCUUGAGUUUGGGAGAAGGGACGCGGAAUUCCAGGUGUAGCGGUGAAAUGCGUAGAUAUCUGGAGGAACACCGGUGGCGAAGGCGGCGUCCUGGACCAACACGUGACCACUGAUGAGCGAAAGCCAGGGGAGCGAAACGGG